rnacentral:rRNA from 2 species
CUUGACGACUAUAGAGCAUUGGAACCACCUGAUCCCAUCCCGAACUCAGCAGUGAAACGAUGCAUCGCCGAUGGUAGUGUGGGGUUUCCCCAUGUGAGAGUAGGUCAUCGUCAAGA